CCUGUCCAGCAGCCGAGGAGUCGCCAGCCCCCCCGGAGAGAUGCAGAGAACUGCCUUUGGAAGAGCAAAGUGUCCCUGCAGUGAGAGCAGACACCGAGCGUCAGGCAGAAGCCUUGCUGCAGGCAGCCCCGUCUCUGCUCGGUGUCCUCCAAGCAGCUGGGGCAGAUGUGGGGCUGGAGUCUGAAACGGGAGAGGCACCUCCAGCUUUGCCUCCAAGCAGCCCUGAGAGCGCGGCAGACUCCCUGGUGCGCCCAGAAGAGCUGGCGAGCCUUGCGGAGGAACGAAGGUUUGCAGGCUCUCGCCAGGACAAGGAGAAAAAGAGAAGCCGGAAGAGAAGGCAGGCGUGGG